rnacentral:rRNA from 1 species
AUGCAGUCGAACGAAGACCCUUGUACUCGUACGAGGAAUUCUUAGUGGCGAACGGGUGAGUAUCGCGUUGGUGACCUGCCCCGAAGUGGGGGACAACAGUCCGAAAGGACUGCUAAUACCCCAUGUGGCCGUGAUAAUUAGAAAGUCACGACUAAAGGAGUAAUCCGCUUCGGGAGGGGCCUGCGUCCCAUCAGCUAGUUGGUAAGGUAAUGGCUUACCAAGGCUACGACGGGUAGGGGACCUGAGAGGGUGGCCCCCCACACUGGUACUGAAACACGGACCAGACACCUACGGGUGGCAGCAGUAGGGAAUAUUGCACAAUGGGCGAAAGCCUGAUGCAGCAACACCGCGUGUGUGAUGAAGGCCUUCGGGUCGUAAAGCACUUUUAUGAGGGAAGAGGAAGGACGGUACCUCAUGAAUAAGGAUCGGCUAACUACGUGCCAGCAGCCGCGGUAACACGUAGGAUCCAAGCGUUAUCCGGAUUUACUGGGCGUAAAGCGCGUGUAGGCGGCUUAGUAAGUUGGAUGUGAAAGCUCCCGGCCCAACCGGGAGACGUCGUUCAAUACUGCUAGGCUUGAGGACGAUAGAGGAAGGUGGAAUUCCGGGUGUAGUGGUGAAAUGCGUAGAUAUCCGGAGGAACACCAGUGGCGAAGGCGGCCUUCUGGGUCGUUCCUGACGCUCAGACGCGAAAGCUAGGGUAGCGAACGGGAUUAGAAACCCCGGUAGUCCUAGCCGUAAACGAUGUCAACUUGGUGUUGGUGGUGUAAAAACCAUCAGUGCCGUAGCUAACGCGAUAAGUUGACCGCCUGGGGACUACGACCGCAAGGUUAAAACUCAAAGGAAUUGACGGGGCCCCGCACAAGCAGCGGAGCGUGUGGUUUAAUUCGAUGCUACGCGAAGAACCUUACCUGGGUUUGACAUAUAAG